UAAAACAAGAAAAGAGGAAUCUCUGCAUCUCUUUGCAAACGUGGAAAUAACUGUAUUGGCAGUUUAGACGCCAAGCAAAGAAACCCCUUUGUAUGUAUUAUGAGCCAAACUCCAACCUCUUCUCCAGCGCUAUUUGCAUCUGUAGGUAACUCCUCCAGAAUGGGGGUCAGGUGCAGAACUGCACUACCAAAAGAGCAGAGUUUGUCAAACAGAUGGCUGUGCAGGCCUGUCCGAGUCCUGCAAAUCCCUUAAGGCCACCAGUGCCCACUGGAGCCCCGGUAAAGCAGCCCACACGCUGAAAGCCUGUCUGGGGGUGAGCGCUCAGAGCUCUGCUAUGUGUCCCCCUGCAAAGGGCUUCGGCAGCGCGGUCAGCAGAGACCGCUGGGAGGAGCCGGGAGAACGGAGAAGCAGGAGGGAGGGAGGGAGGCACUGGGGUGCCCAGAAUAUUCACCGUCGAGUCUAAAACGUGAAGAACCAGCAAGGUACAGAACAAAGGGGAACCCUUACAGGUCCGCCCCCGGCCCCACGUCUGCACGUGCAGCAUCAACCCGUACGUGACGGACAAAAAGAAAAACGUCAGCGGCCCUCACGAGCACCAAGACUGAGCCUCUGCUCAGGUAUCUACAACGCCCUCGGUGCUCUGCAGGCUCCAAGCACGAUCCAAGGAGCUCACAGGGAAGAAACACAGCACGAAAUGUUGUGAGGGCGCAAGAGAAACGGCCGUCAAUCUUUUUCUGGGCACAGCUAAGGAACCCAGGCUUUGGCACCUGAUUACCGGGAACUUGCUGGCAAAUUGCAGCAGGGAGGACCUGCAACUCCUACGAAUAAAGCUGUGAAGGUCUGAAUUCUUUGAAAGUUUCAGUGAAAUCCUUAUCUGUGCCGAAACCUCACUCUUGGCUUUUGUGCUCAGCUCUUAUGUAAGGGCAGCAAAUUAGUUUAUCUUCCUUCGUGUCCUCCAGGUCAGUGACACACCGCCAUCGGGUCACGUUACUGUUUAGCUGAACGGCCAUACCACACACUUACAUGCUGUAACAGCGCGUGUCCUUCUCUCAACUGUGAGCUACCAGCAACUGCCAUUCCUCCUAGAACUACAGUUCAAACACCCCACAGCAGGAUCAACAUCAUUCUUAGGCGGAAACACCCACUACACUUCAGAGCUGUGCCAAAGUGCUGUGUUACUCAAAGCCCUAACCACCUGCAACUAUCUGAGUCCCGCAGAAUUUAGAGGAUAUGCCUCAGGUCUGACACUGCUACUCUGUGGCCCUUGCAAUGCCGCUACUCAUUCAAAACAAACACUCAGUUUUGCAAACAGAAACAGAUAAAUACUGCAUCGUGAGGUUGUUUCACUUCCC
ensembl:lncRNA